UACGUAGGCAGCAAGCGUUGUUCGGAGUUACUGGGCGUAAAGGGUGUGUAGGCGGCCCCCUAAGUUUGGUGUGAAAUCUCCCGGCUUAACCGGGAGGGUGCGCCGAAGACUGGAGGGCUAGAGUGCGGGAUGGGAGAGUGGAAUUCCUGGUGUAGCGGUGAAAUGCGUAGAUAUCAGGAGGAACACCUGUGGUGUAGACGGCUCUCUGGACCGCAACUGACGCUGAGACACGAAAGCGUGGGGAGCGAACAGG
rnacentral:rRNA from 1 species